AUUGUACUCCCUCCGUCCGAAAAUACUUGUCAAAGAAAUGGAUGUAUCUAGACAUAUUUUAGUUCUAGAUACGUCCACUUUUAUCCAUUUCUGCGACAAGUAAUUCCGGACGGAGGGAGUAAUUC
rfam:Triticum aestivum genome assembly, contig: Triticum_aestivum_CS42_TGACv1_scaffold_602998_7DL